UUUCCAGGGGAAUUCUACCACACAUUUAAGGAAGAGUUAACACCUAUUCUCUUUAAGCUGUUCCAAAAAAUAGAAAUGGAAGGAAAACUUCCAAACUCCUUCUAUGAACCCAGCAUUACCUUGACAAGGUAAUACCAGACAAAGACCCCACUAAAAAGGAGAACUACAGACCAAUUUCCCUGAUGAACAUGGAUGCAAAAAUCCUUAACAAGAUACUAGCCAACC